GACGAACGCUGGCGGCGUGCCUAAUACAUGCAAGUAGAACGCAGUUGCGAACGGGUGAGUAACGCGUAGGUAACUGCCUCAUAGCGGGGGAUAACUAUUGGAAACGAUAGCUAAUACCGCCUACUGUGAGAUGGACCUGCGUUGUAUUAGGUAGUUGGUGAGGUUAAGGGUCACCAAGGCGACGAUACAUAUCCGACCUGAGAGGGUGAUCGGGCACAAUUGGGCUGGGACACCGCCCAGAAUCCCUCGGGGUGCAGGAGUAGGGAAUCUUUGGAAAUGGACGGAAGGCUGGCCGAGCAAAGCCGCGUGAGUGGAGAAGGUUUUCGGAUCGGAAAGCUCCGUUGUUAGAGAAGCGGUAACUACCCAGAAAGGGACGGCUAACUACGUGCCAGCAGCCGCGGUAAUUC
rnacentral:rRNA from 1 species